AUGGCCUGCAUGGUCCUUGACAGAUGGCUGU
rnacentral:piRNA from 1 species